rnacentral:rRNA from 1 species
GGUUAAGCGACUAAGCGUACACGGUGGAUGCCCUGGCAGUCAGAGGCGAUGAAGGACGUGCUAAUCUGCGAUAAGCGUCGGUAAGGUGAUAUGAACCGUUAUAACCGGCGAUUUCCGAAUGGGGAAACCCAGUGUGUUUCGACACACUAUCAUUACGUGAAUACAUAGCGUAAUGAAGCGAACCGGGGGAACUGAAACAUCUAAGUACCCCGAGGAAAAGAAAUCAACCGAGAUUCCCCCAGUAGCGGCGAGCGAACGGGGAGCAGCCCAGAGUCUGAAUCAGCAUGUGUGUUAGUGGAAGCGUCUGGAAAGUCGCACGAUACAGGGUGAAAGUCCCGUACACAAAAGUGCAUGUGUUGUGAACUCGAAGAGUAGGGCGGGACACGUGGUAUCCUGUCUGAAUAUGGGGGGACCAUCCUCCAAGGCUAAAUACUCCUGACUGACCGAUAGUGAACCAGUACCGUGAGGGAAAGGCGAAAAGAACCCCGGCGAGGGGAGUGAAAAAGAACCUGAAACCGUGUACGUACAAGCAGUGGGAGCACCCUUCGGGGUGUGACUGCGUACCUUUUGUAUAAUGGGUCAGCGACUUAUAUUCUGUAGCAAGGUUAACCGAAUAGGGGAGCCG